rnacentral:lncRNA from 1 species
CCUGACCCUCGGCGCGGAAGGACCGCUUCUUCCUUCCACCUUCCAACCUCGCACAAGUUUCUCCUGGGGCCAGCCCGUCGCAACUCGGUAUAUAAUAAAUACCAGUACAUUUCAUGAUCUGUGAGUUUUAUAUUAGACAAAAUGUGGUACCUGUAAUCUACUAAACUCAGCAUUUUAACAUUGACAAAGAGAAAAAUGGAUUCAGAAGAAAAAACAUUUAUUAUUAUCUGUUACUUCAUUGCUCGUUAUCUCAAGAAUCAUCAGGAGCCUGGCCAGUUAAAUUCUCUAAGUUCUAACACUCUAAUCCCCAAAGAACUUCAAUCCAUACACAAAGGAGUGGAUGAAAGAGAGGAAACGUGUGUUUUGUUGAUGAAGGUCAUCACCCGGCUGCUGCUCCCGCAGGAGCAUGUGAAGUGGGAUGCACGACCACCGUUCAAAGAUUAACGUUUGCUGCUUCUCAACAGGAGUAUGGUCUCGGCCUCACCCAACAGCAGCAUCAGGACCAAAGUCGCACACAUGAGGUUUGGAGUGAGGGAGACCUGAGCAGGGGUGCCCCUGCUAAACCUCAGCUGGAGCUCUGUAA